rnacentral:rRNA from 1 species
AUGAUACUGCGGAACCGUGAAGGACAUAUUGUCUUUGCAUCAUGUCGUUUUCUUUGUACAUGUUCUAGCACCCUUGAAGCGGAAGUUUCAGCAUGUGCAGACGGCAUUGCACUCGCCUUGGAGUGGAGCACAUAGCCUUUUAUCGUCGAAACAUACUGUUCUGUGGCUGUUCAAAUGCUUAUGGAUGACACGCCAAAUAGAUCUUCAGUGGCUGCUUUAGUCGAGGAAGGGAAACUACUACUUAAGUCUAGGCGUGAUUAUUCUAUAGUACAUAUUAGGAGAAGCCAAAAUAAUGUAGCUCAUGUUUUAGCACAGAUGGGUAGAUCAUCUACUCGCACGGCCGUCUGGCUCCGCCAUCGCCCAGACGAAAUUGGCACUCUUUGCCAAGAGGAUUGUAAUGAACCACCUUGGUUGAUAUGA